rnacentral:rRNA from 1 species
UACGAAGGGGGCUAGCGUUGUUCGGAAUUACUGGGCGUAAAGGGCGCGUAGGCGGCUGUGCAAGUCAGGUGUCGAAAGCCCUGGGCUCAACCCAGGAUGUGCACUUGAUACUGCGCGGCUAGAGUGUCGGAGAGGAUGGUGGAAUUCCCAGUGUAGAGGUGAAAUUCGUAGAUAUUGGGAAGAACACCGGUGGCGAAGGCGACCAUCUGGACGACAACUGACGCUGAGGCGGCGAAAAGCGUGGGGAGCGAACAGG